rnacentral:rRNA from 1 species
GACGAACGCUGGCGGCGUGCCUAAUACAUGCAAGUAGAACGCUGAAGCGAGGAGCUUGCUCUUCUUGGAUGAGUUGCGAACGGGUGAGUAACGCGUAGGUAACCUGCCUUGUAGCGGGGGAUAACUAUUGGAAACGAUAGCUAAUACCGCAUAACAAUGGAUGACACAUGUCAUUUAUUUGAAAGGGGCAAUUGCUCCACUACAAGAUGGACCUGCGUUGUAUUAGCUAGUAGGUGAGGUAAUGGCUCACCUAGGCGACGAUACAUAGCCGACCUGAGAGGGUGAUCGGCCACACUGGGACUGGGACACGGCCCAGACUCCUACGGGAGGCAGCAGUAGGGAAUCUUCGGCAAUGGGGGCAACCCUGACCGAGCAACGCCGCGUGGGUGAAGAAGGGUUUCGGAUCGUAAAGCUCUGUUGUAAGUCAAGAACGGGUGUGAGAGUGGAAAGUUCACACUGUGACGGUAGCUGACCAGAAAGGGACGGCUAACUACGUG